rnacentral:rRNA from 1 species
UACGGGGGGGGCAAGCGUUGUUCGGAAUUACUGGGCGUAAAGGGCGCGUAGGCGGGUGGACAAGUCGCUCGUGAAAGCCCACGGCUCAACCGUGGAAUUGCGGGAGAUACUGUCUGUCUUGAGGCCGGGAGAGGAGGGUGGAAUUCCCAGUGUAGCGGUGAAAUGCGUAGAUAUUGGGAGGAACACCGGUGGCAAAGGCGGCUCUCUGGGCCGGUACUGACGCUGAGGCGCGAAAGCUAGGGGAGCAAACGGG